AAGUCGUAACAAGGUUUCCGUUAGGUGAACCUGCGGAAGGAUCAUUAACGAACAAACAAGUUCAUUUGCCGUUCUGAUCCUCGUCGCACCUUAUGUAGUCCCAAAGCCUUCACGGGCGGCGGUUGACUUACGUCCUACCUCACACCUAAAGUAUGUUAACGAACUGUAAUCAUGGUCUUGACGACCCUAAAAAAGUUCAAUACAA
rnacentral:misc_RNA from 1 species